rnacentral:rRNA from 1 species
AUUGAACGCUGGCGGCAUGCUUUACACAUGCAGGUCGAACGGCAGCAUGGGCUUCGGCCUGAUGGCGAGUGGCGAACGGGUGAGUAAUGCAUCGGAACGUGCCCAGUCGUGGGGGACAACUAGUCGAAAGAUUAGCUAAUACCGCAUACGACCUGAGGGUGAAAGUGGGGGAUCUUCGGACCUCACGCGAUUGGAGCGGCCGAUGUCAGAUUAGCUAGUUGGUGGGGUAAGAGCCUACCAAGGCGACGAUCUGUAGCGGGUCUGAGAGGAUGAUCCGCCACACUGGGACUGAGACACGGCCCAGACUCCUACGGGAGGCAGCAGUGGGGAAUUUUGGACAAUGGGGGCAACCCUGAUCCAGCCAUGCCGCGUGCGGGAAGAAGGCCUUCGGGUUGUAAACCGCUUUCGGACAGAAAGAAAUCGCACAGGCUAAUACCUUGUGUGGAUGACGGUACUGUAAGAAGAAGCACCGGCUAACUACGUGCCAGCAGCCGCGGUAAUACGCAGGGUGCGAGCGUUAAUCGGAAUUACUGGGCGUAAAGCGUGCGCAGGCAGAUUGUUAAGCAAGAUGUGAAAUCCCCGGGCUUAACCUGGGAAUGGCAUUUGAACUGGCAGUC